rnacentral:rRNA from 1 species
UACGUAGGGGGCAAGCGUUGUCCGGAUUUAUUGGGCGUAAAGAGCGUGUAGGCGGCUUUACAGGUCCGCUGUGGAAACUCGAGGCUCAACCUCGAGCUGUCGGUGGAAACCGUAAGGCUAGAGUCCGGAAGAGGAGAGUGGAAUUCCCGGUUUAGCGGUGAAAUGCGCAGAUAUCGGGAAGAACACCCGUGGCGAAGGCGGUUCUCUGGGACGGUACUGACGCUGAGACGCGAAAGCGUGGGGAGCGAACAGG